CUACGGGUCGCUGCAGUGGGGAAUAUUGGACAAUGGGGGAAACCCUGAUCCAGCAAUGCCGCGUGUGUGAAGAAGGCCUGCGGGUUGUAAAGCACUUUCGGUUGGGAGGACUGCUUCUAGCACUAAUAUUGUUGGAAGUUGACGUUACCUUCAGAAGAAGCACCGGCUAACUCCGUGCCAGCAGCCGCGAGUAAUACGGAGGGUGCAAGCGUUAAUCGGAAUUACUGGGCGUAAAGCGCGCGUAGGCGGCUAGAUCAGUCGGGUGUGAAAGCCCCGGGCUUAACCUGGGAACUGCAUCCGAUACUGUCUAGCUUGAGUACAGGAGAGGAGAGUGGAAUUCCACAUGUAGCGGUGAAAUGCGUAGAUAUGUGGAGGAACACCAAUGGCGAAGGCAGCUCUCUGGCCUGAUACUGACGCUGAGGUGCGAAAGCGUGGGGAGCAAACAGGAUUAGAUACCCGAGUAGUC
rnacentral:rRNA from 1 species